rnacentral:lncRNA from 1 species
UUGAACCUUUGAAUCAUAAUAUAAAAUGAGUCAAAUCAAUAAGGUAUAGCACAAAUCCAAUUUCUCUAAAAUAAUAAAACAAAUACUAAACUAAGCACUAAGCAAGAAAAUAUCUUAGUAUGCGUAGUAUCUCAUUGGAGAACCACUAUGUCUAUCUUAUUUCCCAUAAAAAAUUCACUUAAUUUAAUCACUUUUAAUAACUAAUAAAA